rnacentral:rRNA from 1 species
GACGAACGCUGGCGGCGUGCUUAACACAUGCAAGUCGAACGCUGAAGCUCAGCUUUUGUUGGGUGGAUGAGUGGCGAACGGGUGAGUAACACGUGAGUAACCUGCCCCCUUCAUUGGGAUAACGCCCGGAAACGGGUGCUAAUACUGGAUAUUCACUGGUCUUCGCAUGGGGGUUGGUGGAAAGGGUUUUUCUGGUGGGGGAUGGGCUCGCGGCCUAUCAGCUUGUUGGUGGGGUGAUGGCCUACCAAGGCUUUGACGGGUAGCCGGCCUGAGAGGGUGACCGGUCACAUUGGGACUGAGAUACGGCCCAGACUCCUACGGGAGGCAGCAGUGGGGAAUAUUGCACAAUGGGCGCAAGCCUGAUGCAGCGACGCCGCGUGAGGGAUGGAGGCCUUCGGGUUGUGAACCUCUUUCGCUCAUGGUCAAGCCGCAACAAUGGUUGUGGUGAGGGUAGUGGGUAAAGAAGCGCCGGCUAACUACGUG